CACCCCUCAAGCGUAGCUUGGUAUUGGGCUCUCGCCCCCGCGGCAUGCCCGAAAAGCAGAGGCGGUCCGGUGCGACUUUAAGCGUAGUAUUUUCUCCCGUUUUUAAAGUUCGCCCUGUGGCCUGCCAGACAACCCUAUAUAUCCAAUGA
rnacentral:misc_RNA from 1 species